rnacentral:lncRNA from 1 species
AUGUCUUGUGGCAAUUAGUAAACGCAUUUACAAUGAAACAGUAAAAUUCAAUUUACUGCAUUCUUUUAUAAGCAAGAAUUCUGUUAGAUCUUGUUUCCUUUUUCCAUGUCGCAUCAAAAUAGAAUGGCAGGACUGUCAUUCUUUACAUGAAUCAGAAAAUCCAUGACAGAAGUGUUGGAAAUGUUACUUAGAUGAUUGGGAAGAUUUGUUUUGUACUCCGUCCUGUUUAAAGUUGAACAAAUGAAGCAUUUGUAGUGAGGUGAUGUCAGUGUAGUCAGAUGAUCAAUAAAAUGAAAUUCCGACAGCGCGUAGCUUGGUUAGUAGUUGUCGCAUAUCUUGGUGGCACAUUUUCUUUCUUUUACUACUUGUUCGAAAUCAACGAGCAUUAUAACCAGUUUGCAGUUGACCAUGUGCAAAAAUAUCAUUCUA